rnacentral:rRNA from 1 species
UACGUAGGGCGCAAGCGUUGUCCGGAAUUAUUGGGCGUAAGAGCUACGUAGGCGGCCUGUUACGUCUGCUGUGAAAUCCCGGGGCUUAACCCCGGGCGUGCAGUGGAUACGGGCAGGCUGGAGGCAGGCAGGGGAGAACGGAAUUCCCGGUGUAGCGGUGAAAGUGCGCAGAUAUCGGGAGGAACACCGGUGGCGAAGGCGGUUCUCUGGGCCUGACUGACGCGAGGAGCGA